rnacentral:rRNA from 1 species
AUUGAACGCUGGCGGCAGGCUUAACACAUGCAAGUCGAACGAGUGGCGGACGGGUGAGUAAUGCAUGGGAAUCUGGCUUAUGGAGGGGGAUAACGACGGGACACUGUCGCUAAUACCGCGUCCCAUAGGAUGAGCCCAAGUGGGAGUAGGGAGUUGGUGGGGUAAUGGCUAACCAAGCCGCCGAUCUCUAGCUGGUCUGAGAGGAAGACCAUCCACAUCGGGACUGAGACACGGCCCGUACUCCUACGGGAGGCAGCAGUGGGGAAUAUGGCGCACUGGGGGCAACCUGACGCAGCCAUGCCGCGUGAAUGAAGAAGGCCUUCGGGUUAUAAAGUUCUUUCGGUGACGAGACGUUAAUCACAGAAGAAGCACCGGCCAACACCGUGCCAGCAGCCGCGGUAAAUC